CACAGGGUAAGGAGCCCAGUGUGGUGGCUUGAUCCCAGGACUCUAGGAUCAUGACCAGAGCCAAAGGCAGAUGCUUAACCAACUGAGCCAACCAGGCACCCCCAAAACUCUUAUUUUUAAGAGUUGUUUUGUGGCUGUAGAGGAGAGCCUGCCUUAUGCCACCCUGUUGAUAACAACUCUGUUAUGGAUGAAGAAGCAGAUCAUCUGGAGGCCCUUGGUAUGUGCAAGUGUGUUGGAGAAGUCGGGCUUUUGUUUCCUCAUCUGGAAUCCUCCCUACUUUCCCCAGGAGGGACACACUGAGAGGGUAUGGAUGGGUGGGUAGCAAAGGAAUUGUUUCAACAGCAGUGAAUGUAUGAGGUCAAGGCAGGGCUGACACUGUUCUCAAUAAGGAGCAUUGUGACUAUGAACAAAGGCUAGUGGGAUUUUUCUUCAUUUGUUUGCUUUCAUUUCUUCAUGCUAGACAGCUGGAAUGCCAGGGGCAGUUCUGUGCCAAGCCACAAAAAGGAUGAAAGCCCAGGACUUCCCCUAGGACAACAGCUUCCAUUUUAGCUUAAGGCAAGCAUAAAAUCUGCCCUAAGGUAGUAGUUUAGGAACUUCCUGUUGGUUCACAUUUCAAACAGAUUAUAUUUAAUUUUCACCUUACCACUCAGAGCUCAGAGUGAACAGGGAUAAGGUCAGGAGACCCAGGGACGGAGUACUCUGCUAAGAACUGAACCAGUGACCACCUGGCUUCCAGCAAAAACAAGAAAUGCAAGUAGAACUGUGAAAAGGUUUAAUUCUUCUUUCUUAAAUAGAAGGAAAAACAAAGCGGUUCAGACGACAACUCUCAGAUGAGAACAGACAGCCAUAAUGGAACCCAAACCUCAGAAGAAGUACAGGUAUCCAGGGGGGUAUACUCUCCGAAGUAAAAAACUUUAUUGAAAAUAACCAACAAUUCUCACCAAGCUAAUCAGGG